UGCCCUCCAUGGCCCGCAGGUCACUGUGGGGGCUGGCUAAAGCCAGGGCUAGCUAAAGCCAGGCUAGCUAAAGCCAGGCUAGCUAAAGCCAGGCUAGCUAAAGCCAGGGCUAGCUAAAGCCAGGGCUAGCUAAAGCCAGGGCUGGCCAAGGCUGCUGCUGAGACAAAGGGGAGGACACUCAGGCACUUCUGAAUUACAGCUCUGCUGUCUCCUAAGGAUUGAGUAGUCAUCACCUGUCUGGAAGUGACGGAAGAGUGGAAGUCCUUUCACCAAUAAUUUUUGAAGGUAUUUAUUUGGUAUGUAACUCCACUGAAAAAUCUGGCUUAGUGUACCCUAUAAUAAAGUUACUUUUUGAAGGAACUAUUACAAGAAUUAAUGCAGAGCUGCUAAGCUAUCACUUAAGUGCUUUUUUACAAACACAGCUACAUUGCUUUUAAUAUUCUGCCUUUCUGUGUGGAUAUAAAAAGCACAUUUAACUGUAAUUCCCAGCUGUCAYGCUUGCUUUUUUACAAAUGGGUGCCUGCAAAAACAGGCCCUGUUUACUGCUGCUGAAUAAUAAUUUCUGGAUUUCAUCUUGGCAGUGAAUGUUGGGGAGAUAUCCUUUAAGCCACUGAAUUGGAGGUUAGGACAUUCAUUUCAGUGUCAGCUGACAUCCCAAGCUGGAUCACAAAUGAAAAGCAGCAGAGUUCAAUUGCAGUGUUUAACAAUAAAGCAGGAAACUCUAAUUGCCAAGCUGCUGGCAGCUGAGAGUAGAACUUGCAGUAAUGCUAACUGAGCAGAUCUGAUUUGAUAUAGCAUUACAAAUAUCCACCCUUUCUUAAACCAGCUAGAGGGGUUUUGAUUUUGAGAACCUACUGUGCACCAUGUAAAGGCAGCACAAACAGGAUUUGAUGGAGACACCAGCACUGGGUAUGCAAUGUGCUUGAACAACCCUGAAGACMUCUACCAAGGGUCUGUCAGAACCCUUCACUUCCAUCAAGAAAAUGUAAGAGACGCAGUAAGAGAGAUGUAAGAGAGAAAGGGUGGCAGUGAAUCUUUCAUGCUACUUGCCAAGGACUGAGGCGUGGGGCACAAAUGUCURCAAGUGGAUUGUGCCACUUGGUGCUGAACAAAAUAAAGGUUUUGGUGCAAGUGCUGCUCUCUGACUCCCUCUGAGCCAUUCUCCCCUCCCACUCUCUCUCUGUCCCAGGGAAGCUGGUGCUGCUUGGAUGCAGUCUAUGACAGCACCCUGCUAAACUCAUUCUAGUGAAAAAGAGGAUGGAAAAGGUGGUCACUUUGGGUCUAUUCAUGCUCUGGGGCCCCUUGGACAGAUUUAAGAGGAUCUUCUUGCUCUGCAAACAUGACUUGCAUUUGUAUGUUUAAAAUGGUCUCUGUUCUAUCUGUAUACAGGAAUCUUUUGUUUCCAAGCAUUAACUGUCCUGUGUUAUGACAGGGUGUUUUUACAAGGAAAAACAGGUGUCCAAAGAAUUGUGUGAGUACGAGUUCUGCAGUUGUUUUUGAGACUUUGACUACUGUUCCCAGAAAUCCUUAAUGUCUUGCAAAAUAUAACAGAACAGCAUAACUUUAUUGGAAUGGUCAUGGCUGAGUUGUAAAAAUUUGAACCAUUGGCUGAAAGCAGAUCUAUCUGUUUAGCUUUUUUUUCUGGUAUAACGUGGAAACAAUCUUUUAAGCAGUUUUUAUCAAGAAUCAGCCUUUUUCUUAUAUAGUUAUUUUAUUACAUUCUAACUGGUGCUCCUCUUUUAACUUCCCCUCCUCCUUUCCUAGAAUAAAAUUAACCUGUCGUUAAAGGUAAAUUAUAUACUCUGCAGUAGGAGAAAACCAGGUCAAAAGAGAGACAACUCUGAAUAUUUAAUAUUUGUCAACUAAUGCAUAUCUAGAUAAAACAAUCUGAUAACUAAAACUCAUUUAGAAUUUGGCUUCUGUGCUAGGACCCAGGGAAAGAAUUUCUGGAUGCUUUCUGUUCUCUUUGAAAAUCUUUGCCAAUUUUGAUGAUGAUAUUUCCAUAAAGUCAUAUUUGUUUUCUUUAAGAAYGCAUUUCUUCCUCAUUUUGCCUUAAAUCUAUAAGGUAUUAUGGUUUUCUCUUUUGGAAAUGAAGAAUAAAAGAGGUAAUGUAUUUCACAUCAAACAUUUCUUGUAUGUAAUGCAAAUGUGUUUACCAUAAUACUAAUAUUUAAGAGAAAAAAUGAGCCAUAACAAAGCCCUAGAAUCUAAACUUAUGGAAUCCAGUCAGUGACCCUUAAGUCUUUGGCUAGACCCUGGGAGGGCUGUUUUCUACUCUGUKCUGGGAGAGGAAGAAUGCAGUUUUCCCCUAGAACAAUAGACUGUUUGGUUGUACCCACCUUCUAAAAACAAAAGAUAAGAAAGAGCUUCUCAAUAACAAAAUGCUAGUUUACUUCAGCUCCAUUGUGCUUUUGGAGAGAACUAGCAGUUAUUUGAGAUAAUCUUUUCAAGGAAAAGUCACUCUGGAUGAUAACAAAACUUCCUUUAAGRGAAUUUGAGCCAGAAGCCUUUUUUCUGAACUGUCUCCUGAGACUGAGAUGCAGUGUUUUGCUGAAGGCUUUGGUCAGUUUGGCUGUGAUCUUCCCAUUUCUCAGCUCUCCAGAGCAGCUCUACCUGCUUCAGCUCUACAGACCUCUGGGUCGUUUCUAAUCCAAGUUUUCCCUCACUACAAUUAAUUCAGCUCUACAGACCUCUGGGUCAUUUCUAAUCCAAGUUUUCCCUCACUACAACUAAUUACAAACUGCUGAAAAGUAAAUACCCUUAACUCAAGAAGGCGCUUGAGCCAGAGAGGAAAAUAGCAGUACCAGGGAAUGGGUCCCAUUCCACACUUUCAMAGCCAACCAUCUGCAUUAAAACCCACUUUAUAUGUGCUAUUUUAACCUGGUUUUCCCAGACUGAUUAAAGAACACGUUGUUGGAGGCACACAGGCAGAGAUUCUUGCUCCCCCAGAAGGCUGGCAGUGAAGAAAAGUGGGAAAAGUUAUCCCAACUCCUUGAAAAUCAGACUCCUCCACAUCAGAUGGCCGGGAGCAAUUCUGUUUUCAGGACAGCCUCUUGUGAAGAAAUCUACUGUUACCUCCAGAGUGUUUACAUGGGAGGCCACAAGUCUGAACAGGCAGUCAUUGCCAUGCUGGGGACAGGUAAAGAAAAUCCCUGGAACUCCGCAGUGUUCAAAGGCAGACUCACAAAGUUUAUGAACCCACAGUUGGAAAGCACACCAAAACCCCAAAUCCUGCCCUGGGCAGRGCUCUGAGGGAGCAGCAGAGCAGCCAGAGAUGCUUUCACUGAGGUGCAAAUCCCGAGCAGGACGAGGACGAGCUGCCCUCUGCUCUGCUCUGAGCUCAGCGCUGUUUGUGCAGGGCUCUGCAGCCCCACUGGGGCAGGGAUGUGCUGCAUCAAUGGAAGCAUUCACUGCCUUUCCUGCUCYUCUAAAGCUCAGGGCACUGAUCCUGUGCUGCUGCCCCUUACCCAGAGCAGAGGGAGAGGCUGCCUCUGUCCUCUUCCCCUCUACUCCAGUUCCCCGCUSAACAGAAGGGUUCAGGAGAGAAAGCACUGACCUAAAAUAAACUACCAUUAGCCAUAAUAAAUUCCAGUGUAUCUCCAGUUUAUCAAACAUCUGCAACGGCGCAGAAAGUCAUGAUAAGAUAGUCCUCACUCCAGUUCAGUGGAAAAAAAGUCCUUGGACACCUCAGAUUCACUUCAGCCAAGUCAUUUUCAAGGACUUCAGUAUGUGCUGCACAAAGUCCUUCUCAUAUAGCCUUAACCUAUUAACUGCUCUUUAAUUUCAGACAUAAUCUCAGUUAAAACCCACAAAAACUCCCUGUGCUGAACUCACAUGUGACCACAUCAAGGGACUCUAUUUAUGCUGAGGAUUAUUAAGCCUGUUGGACAGGUUACAACAGCAGCUUCCCCACAGGGCCUUGCAGUAUCAUGACAGUAGUUUUCUGCACUAAGUUUUUGAUGAUUUCUAAUUAUUUUCUGCAUAAAGCAGAUUAUUCCUCUGGACCCUGGUUUCCAAAAGCAGGAGCCACUGUUUCUGUUCAGCUAAAUUCCACCCCCAUUCCCUAGCAGAAUAGCUGCUGCARUGUUUUGAUAUCUGACACUGAAGAAAAGGCUUCUGAGAGACUCUCCUCUUGGCUUCACCAGAGGCAGCCUGUGCACUCUGGAGGGCGUUUCUACUCCUCUCUGAGCUUUUUUCUUUGUUUAUGUUUCUGUAGCCAGCYCCAAAGCUUUGUGUGUGUGCAGAUGACAGAUGUGUUUAUAUUGCUUUAUAGGUGGGAUAGCUGUAGAAUUUUGUUUUGCCAGAUGAGUAUGAAAUGCUGGAGUAUUCUUCCACAUACUCACUGCCAACCAAAUACCUUAAAAAAGUUGUUCCAAUGUAAAGGACAGCAUUUUUCAUGGCAAAGUCUUAAGUGCAUUUUGUACUGAUGGAAGUAAGGUGCUUAAAAUGAGAAAACAGGACACACUGAUAAUCAAAUUCACUGUACCAGGAAAAGAGGGAAAUGGUCUUCCUUCCCUUAUUACUGAUUUUUUUUUCCUCUAUUUUAGAGCUUGAACCAGUUCAAUUUCCCCAACUGACAGUUUUGCUCUGUUUGAUGUAGAUUCUUAAGGCUUUUUGUGCACAAGCUUUGAAAAAAAGCACUUCUUAAAUUGGAAACUGUCAACACCUGCUGUUCUCCUUAAUGACUUCUGCAGAGAUUGGCCUUUUGUCACCUGGUCAAGAGCACAAGAGCUGCCCUGCUCCUUGGGUGGAGGGUGCUGUGGGAAUGCUGUUUGCUGCUGGGGGAUGUGCAUGUGUGACCUGAAGAUUGUGCUGCCCACCAGGCACGGAAAUACCUCCUGGAGUAGCUGUAGGACAYUGCUCAUUCUGGUGGAAAACAAUAAUUUACUCCUCAGAGAAGAUGCAUCAAAAUUCUGUAAAUCCUUGUCAAUGAAGGUCACAAGGCAUGGUGAAUACUGCUUUUAUUAGCACUUUUCAGUUCUGCAACACACUUCGAGAGUAAGGUGUUGAAACUCUGAUUGCAUUACUCUGACAACRGAAUAUGGAAAAAUAAACAUGCCCCCUGCUCCCUAUUCAACAUGUGUCUAGUUAUAACUGCCUCUGUUUCUUAAAGCUUUGGGAGAGCUCAGGUGAUAAAAAGAAAUGCCAUAAGUAAAGUUUGGACCCUUGUGUAGUACUCAGUCCUGCAAGAAAUAUGGAUAUAAUAGGGUGGUUGUAGGCAGAUCAGGGUUCAGGGGAACUAUUCAGAUGAACCUUCACUGUAAGAAUGGUGUUAAAAGAGUAUUUGACAAAAAAAAAAACUGUACAUGAUUUAUCUUCAUUAUUAAAAAAACCCAAAUAAUUUCAGCAAAACUUGGUAGGAACUCCUAACAGUAUCAAAGUAGAAAUUUACUUGCAGAAUUGAAAUAAAGAUCAAGCUGGUUUUACCUAUACUUUUCAAAAACAUGCUGGAAACUUAGCACAUCAGUAUCUACAUCAUAUUAGAACAAAGAGGCCAGAAYUAUCUGGCCUGAUAGCAGGACCAGAGACYUCUCAUAGGAGGCAUUUUUUAUUUCUUUUUCAAGGGACUUAAUAUGUUGAAGUGCAGCAUUUUUCUUCUUGUAAGCAAGAUGCUCAUUCUGGYUUUCUUUCCUUCUCCUGGAAUAGCUGUUAGAACAGACAGAUCAAAAAGAGAAAUAUUUUSUGUGUGUGUGUUUAAUUUUCUCUUACAUCACUGAUUUUCUGUUACAUCAUUGUUGUAAUUUGUCUUCCAUCKGGUCCUUAGUUCUGGAAAAAUCUACUUCCUUAACAGGAUGAGGAAGGGAAUGACCAUGUGUUGAAGCAUUCAGACUUCUCCCUUUCAUUUAGGUAAAGCUAUAAAAAACUAAGACAGAAUUUUUAAAAGCUUAAUGAUCUCCAGUGUCCGAAAUAACAAAGCACAUACUGUGUGUGAGUGUGUGAAAGCACACUCUGAAAGUGAGCAAGUAUGUUUUAAGCAAGUAUGUUGUGAUCUUUACUUUCCAAAAUGUAUCUUUUGUUUUCACUCUAAACACUUUUGCUCAAUAGAAAGAGAAUGGUCAGAGGAAAAUGAGCAUCUGUUAUCCAGACAUCAAACUCACAUGCAGCCAAAAAUGUUCCUCUGGCUCUCAAUGCUGAAGAAACAUACAACUACAGGAUCUGUUACUAGUUGGAGGGGUUAUAAGGGGUUCCCUUAUAAAAGGGAAGCUGCUUAGCAAAAAUAAGUGAACUAGAAAAACCACAUAACCUGUAAUACYGAAAAUGCGUAUCUUGGAGAAAUCUAAUAAUUUAGGGUUGGACAUUUUUCAGGKGAGUGAAUACAACUGUGUGAAUGGCAAUUUACCAAAGAUUUCUCUGAAGAGGAAAUACCCCAAUUCACUAAAUUAAGCAUUCAUCCUUGUGCGCAAUGAGAGCUGAAAGUUGGGAUAAACAAAAAUGUCAUUCCUAAGUGAGCCYGUUGUUCACCUUAGCAGCAGUUGCCUUACAUUAAAAGGGUUUAUUCUGAAAAUCAUUGGUAUUGAGUCCUACAGUCUUUUGUCCCAAUAGUGCUACUGAAAACAAUGGAAGUGCACCAUAUGAAAUAAACACCAUGGAAGUAUUCAAUUUACUGUGUGGGGUACUACUUGGUCAAAASGACUGAGGAUUUUUGUAGUGAGAACAUUCACUGCCAUUGUAUUUAUUCCACUAACACUUUUUACAAAUUUCACUGGACAUCAGAUCACACUUUGCAUCAGCGGUUAUGCUGACAUAAAGUGUGUCUGUUAAUCAUACAGCAAACUAGUUGAAGCCAGCAAAUAUCCAAGAAAAAAGAAAAACAAGGUAUUCCAAUGAUUUUUUUUUUCAUGAUUUUUAGGAGU